AGCUUCAAUAUUUACUAAGGUAAGCAGAGAUUUGAAUAUAUAUAAAAAUAGAAACAUAUAAACAUAUGCAUAUAUCUAUAUGUGUGUAUAUAUCUAUAUCACAUCACUGAAAAUGUAUAUUUAUACAAAGCGUUUUUAUACAUAUUUUAACAAUCCCAUGUUAUGUUCUUUCUGUAUUUCUUUUAUCUCUCCAUGUCAUCCUUUUAAAAAAAAAAAAAAUAUAUAAUAAAAUAGUUAUAUAUAUAUAUACAUACAUACAUACAUACAUACAUACAUACAUACUACGUACAUUUAAAGUUUUGACUAAUUUGCUCAUUUUUAUUAAUUUUUUCUUUUUUAUCUUUUAAGUUUGGAAUAAAUGAAAUAUUAUUUCAUCAGCCGUACAAAUGCCACUUUUAUAUUUAUAGCAUGCUAGAGGGGGAACAUAAAAAAAAACCAGGGUUUAUAAAAUUAAGUUCUGUAAUAAAUGAACAAUGCACUGAAAACAAAAAUGACAAUGUAAAUGAUAAUGAUAAUACUGAUAGUAGUGAUCAAAAAAAUGCAACUAUAAGCCAUGAAGAAAACUUGAGUGAAGAACAUAAAAACAUUUCUGUUUAUAUACUAGUCGCAGGAGGCGACGGGACAUUAAAUUGGGUAAUACAAGAAGCAGAUUGUUAUAAUAUUAAUAAUAAUAAAUUUGCUAUUGGUUUACUUCCUUUUGGUACAGCUAAUGACUUUUCAAAAACAUUUGGUUGGAAACGAAUUAAUGGUGCAUUUAAUGAAAAUGUUUUAUUCAAAAUUUUAAAAAAAAUUGUCAAUCAGGUUUUCAAAGCUCAUAUUAAACGACAUGAUUAUUGGAAUGUGGAAUUUGUUUUAAAUAAAGAAGGGUAUUUUAAUAAAAUAAAUUCGAAAACUAAAAAAAAAGAGAUAUUAAAAGAAAAUGAUGAAAUUAUUAAAAAAAUACAAAAAUGUAUGUCUAAUUAUUUUAGUAUAGGUAUUGAUUCAAGAAUAGGAAGAGGGUUUGAAAAGCGACGUCAAAAAAAUGCAUUAUGUAAUAAAUUUAUUUAUUUGUUAGAAGGUUGUAAAAAAGUUUCCUUUAAAAAAAAUACUCCUAUCAAUGCAUUACUAGAUAAAAUGGUCAUGGAUAAUACUGAUAAUGAAGUUAUUUUUACUACUAACAAAACGGACAACAAUUUUCCUUUGCUAAAAAAAUCGCAAACUAUUGUAUGUGUUAAUAUACCGUGUUAUGCAUGUGGAAAUGAUAUCUGGAGUUAUACACAUAAAUUAGGUUUGAAGUUACCCAAAACACUUAACUCAGAUCAAAAAAAAGUUUAUGAAAAUUUAAAAAAAUCAAAACAAGAAGUAGGUGAUGGAAUGUUAGAAUUUGUUAUUUUUCAAAAAGGUAUUGACUUAGGGUUGGAGUAUACGUUAAAAGGAAGAGCACAUAGGAUACAUCAAGGUACCGGGCCUUGGAAAAUGUUUUUUAAAGAAAAU
rnacentral:lncRNA from 1 species